rnacentral:rRNA from 1 species
UACGUAGGGUGCGAGCGUUAAUCGGAAUUACUGGGCGUAAAGCGUGCGCAGGCGGUGAUGUAAGACAGGUGUGAAAUCCCCGGGCUUAACCUGGGAGGGUGCGCCGAAUACUGAAUGACUAGAGUGCGGGAGAGGAGAGUGGAAUUCCUGGUGUAGCGGUGAAAUGCGUAGAUAUCAGGAGGAACACCAGUGGCGAAGGCGACUUCCUGGCCUGUUCUUGACGCUGAGGCGCGAAAGCUAGGGGAGCAAACGGG